GGGUGUUGGCCGUGGCUGGUGGCUGGGGGCUGAUCGGGGGAGCGCACGCGCGACUGAGGGGUUCGGUUGGGGUUUCCGCGCGCGCGGCUGGGGUUUCUGGUCGGGGGUUGCGCGCGGCUGAGGGGUCUGGUCGGGGUUUCGCGCACGCUGUUGGGAGGUCCGGUCGGUCAGGGGGUUCCGUGCGCGGCUAAGGGGUCCAGUCGGAGGUUUUGCUCGCGGCUGACGGGGUCGGUCAGGGGUUGCGCGCACAACUGAGGGGGUUCGGUGGGGGGUUUCCGCACGGCAGAGGGGUUCCGGUCAGGGGGUUUCGCGCGGCGGAGUUUUCCAGACAUGCAUGCACUCUGAGAACAUGGCCAACGGAGGGAGUCGACCAAGAACAAUAACAGGGAUAAGAACCGUUGCUUCUGCAAGCAACAAAGAGAAAAAUUUAAGAACGAACGCUGCCACGUAGCUUUACUCCAACGGGGAUUUCUUGUAAGCACCGUUGCUUACAAUUAAGACACGGAACAGGCACCUCCCGCUGGAGGUGCUCUUAGAUACUUUAUGGUUCUACUCGUGCACUUGCAUAAAAAAUAAUAUUGCAUUCAUUGGUCAAUUAAUAUAAAUGGAUAUAAAAAUUAAUUAAAAAAAUACCAAUGUUUGCAUCUCAGCAAAUAUUAAGUUAAAUAGAAAAUUUUUAUGCAAGUUAUUUCUAAUGGUUAGGCUCUUCUUCAGGAAACUUCAAAAAUUCAAUUGAAUUAUAGAUCAGAAGGAAUUCUAAUUUUGAUUUUCAAACACCAUCAUGUGAAUAUGAUAGCUCAAACUCACUUGAAUAGAGAGUGUUGAUAGUUAUUAGCUAUAUAUCAUUGUUUUAUUGAUACACUUUUAUUAGAGGAUUUAACCUAUUCCUAAUUUUUCAA